UACAGAGGGUGCGAGCGUUAUUCGGAAUUACUGGGCGUAAAGCGCACGUAGGUGGUUUGGUAAGUCUGAUGUGAAAGCCCUGGGCUCAAUCCAGGAAGUGCAUCGGAUACUGCCAGGCUUGAGUACAGGAGAGGUGGGCGGAAUUCCAGGUGUAGAGGUGAAAUUCGUAGAUAUCUGGAGGAACAACAGCGGCGAAGGCGGCUCACUGGACUGUCACUGACACUGAGGUGCGAAAGCGUGGGGAGCAAAC
rnacentral:rRNA from 1 species